rfam:Citrus sinensis cultivar Ridge Pineapple sweet orange scaffold00005_contig_186, whole genome shotgun sequence.
UAGAAAUAGGGGUUCCUUGCGGCCCAAAACAGUUGGCUAACUCUGCUCUUCUCUCUAUGUUUUGGACUGAAGGGAGCUCCUAAUUCUU